rnacentral:rRNA from 1 species
GACGAACGCUGGCGGCGUGCCUAAUACAUGCAAGUAGGACGCACAGUUUAUACCGUAGCUUGCUACACCAUAGACUGUGAGUUGCGAACGGGUGAGUAACGCGUAGGUAACCUGCCUAUUAGAGGGGGAUAACUAUUGGAAACGAUAGCUAAUACCGCAUAACAGUAUGUAACACAUGUUAGAUGCUUGAAAGAUGCAAUUGCAUCGCUAGUAGAUGGACCUGCGUUGUAUUAGCUAGUAGGUAGGGUAAUGGCCUACCUAGGCGACGAUACAUAGCCGACCUGAGAGGGUGAUCGGCCACACUGGGACUGAGACACGGCCCAGACUCCUACGGGAGGCAGCAGUAGGGAAUCUUCGGCAAUGGGGGGAACCCUGACCGAGCAACGCCGCGUGAGUGAAGAAGGUUUUCGGAUCGUAAAGCUCUGUUGUUAAGGAAGAACGAGUGUGAGAAUGGAAAGUUCAUACUGUGACGGACUA